rnacentral:rRNA from 1 species
GAUGAACGCUGGCGGCGUGCCUAAUACAUGCAAGUCGAGCGAACAGACGAGGAGCUUGCUCCUCUGACGUUAGCGGCGGACGGGUGAGUAACACGUGGAUAACCUACCUAUAAGGCUGGGAUAACUUCGGGAAACCGGAGCUAAUACCGGAUAAUAUAUUGAACCGCAUGGUUCAAUAGUGAAAGACGGCUUUGCUGUCACUUAUAGAUGGAUCCGCGCCGCAUUAGCUAGUUGGUAAGGUAACGGCUUACCAAGGCAACGAUGCGUAGCCGACCUGAGAGGGUGAUCGGCCACACUGGAACUGAGACACGGUCCAGACUCCUACGGGAGGCAGCAGUAGGGAAUCUUCCGCAAUGGGCGAAAGCCUGACGGAGCAACGCCGCGUGAGUGAUGAAGGUCUUCGGAUCGUAAAACUCUGUUAUUAGGGAAGAACAAAUGUGUAAGUAACUAUGCACGUCUUGACGGUACCUAAUCAGAAAGCCACGGCUAACUACGUG